GCCUAGGUGGCUCAGCUGGUUAAGCGUCUGACUUUGGCUCAGGUCAUGGUCUCAUGGUUCGUGGGUUCGAGCCCCGCGUCGGGCU
rnacentral:tRNA from 1 species